CACGGUAACGUGAGUUUGUCAAUGAGUAAUCUCCAUUAUUUGCUUCGCUCAACUUUUUAAGGCAAUGCUGUGUGGUAAAUGAAUUUCGCGGAAAAAAUAACACCAAACCUACUAAUACAAAUUUGGACUUAACAUUGCUUAAUGAAUUUUAUUGUAGAGAGAUUUACCAAACACACUUAUCUUAAAGGUUGAACUGACAAAUGAGUUUUUUGCCAAAGACACAUUUCCAAAAUUACUGAAAUCUCUCUACAAGCGAUACUUUUGACUGUAUAAUUUCAUUAAUUCCAAGUCUACGAAAACCCAAAAAAAUGUGUUCAAAAUUAACUGGUUUCUUUUUGAACUGAACAUGGGUACAGUACCAACUUUGCUGCUACUACCGGUCAGCCCCCCAUCUGCCCAAGGACAUAGAUAUGAAACAAGAACUAGAUGACUCCCAAUCUUCACUUGAGAUUAGGCAGAUUAAGACCCUCACGAAGAUCAGGGACAAGAACUGGGGAGUAGGCAGAAUAAUACCUCAGUAUAAUCAUACUUUACAGUUCUUGAACCAAAAAUCCGAAGCUGAAAUUUCAAGGAAGGCAAAACUCAAGACAAAUUUAUAAGUUGUAUUUUUUUUAAUAAAUUUCUUUAAAAUUCAA